UGGGGAAUUUUCCGCAAUGGGCGAAAGCCUGACGGAGCAAUACCGCGUGAGGGAAGAAGGUCUGUGGAUUGUAAACCUCUUUUGUUAGGGAAGAUAAUGACGGUACCUAACGAAUAAGCAUCGGCUAACUCCGUGCCAGCAGCCGCGGUAAGACGGAGGAUGCAAGCGUUAUCCGGAAUUAUUGGGCGUAAAGCGUACGUAGGCGGUUUUAUAAGUCUGUUGUCAAAGCCCGAGGCUUAACCUUGGAAAGGCAAUGGAAACUGUAAGACUAGAGAGAGAUAGGGGCAGGAGGAAUUCCAGGUGUAGCGGUGAAAUGCGUAGAUAUCUGGAAGAACACCAGUGGCGAAAGG
rnacentral:rRNA from 1 species